AGAGUUUGAUCCUGGCUCAGAUUGAACGCUGGCGGCAUGCCUUACACAUGCAAGUCGAACGGCAGCACGAGAGCUUGCUCUUGGUGGCGAGUGGCGAACGGGUGAGUAAUAUAUCGGAACGUACCCUAGAGUGGGGGAUAACGCAGCGAAAGUUGCGCUAAUACCGCAUACGAUCUACGGAUGAAAGUGGGGGAUCGCAAGACCUCAUGCUCAUGGAGCGGCCGAUAUCUGAUUAGCUAGUUGGUAGGGUAAAAGCCUACCAAGGCUUCGAUCAGUAGCUGGUCUGAGAGGACGACCAGCCACAUUGGAACUGAGACACGGUCCAGACUCCUACGGGAGGCAGCAGUGGGGAAUUUUGGACAAUGGGCGCAAGCCUGAUCCAGCAAUGCCGCGUGAGUGAAGAAGGCCUUCGGGUUGUAAAGCUCUUUUGUCAGGGAAGAAACGGUGGACUCUAAUACAGAUCACUAAUGACGGUACCUGAAGAAUAAGCACCGGCUAACUACGUGCCAGCAGCCGCGGUAAUACGUAGGGUGCAAGCGUUAAUCGGAAUUACUGGGCGUAAAGCGUGCGCAGGCGGUUGUGCAAGACAGAUGUGAAAUCCCCGGGCUCAACCUGGGAAUUGCAUUUGUGACUGCACGGCUAGAGUGUGUCAGAGGGGGGUAGAAUUCCACGUGUAGCAGUGAAAUGCGUAGAGAUGUGGAGGAAUACCGAUGGCGAAGGCAGCCCCCUGGGAUAACACUGACGCUCAUGCACGAAAGCGUGGGGAGCAAACAGGAUUAGAUACCCUGGUAGUCCACGCCCUAAACGAUGUCUACUAGUUGUUGGGUCUUAAUUGACUUAGUAACGCAGCUAACGCGUGAAGUAGACCGCCUGGGGAGUACGGUCGCAAGAUUAAAACUCAAAGGAAUUGACGGGGACCCGCACAAGCGGUGGACGAUGUGGAUUAAUUCGAUGCAACGCGAAAAACCUUACCUACCCUUGACAUGUACGGAAUCCCUGAGAGAUUAGGGAGUGCUCGAAAGAGAGCCGUAACACAGGUGCUGCAUGGCUGUCGUCAGCUCGUGUCGUGAGAUGUUGGGUUAAGUCCCGCAACGAGCGCAACCCUUGUCAUUAGUUGCUACGAAAGGGCACUCUAAUGAGACUGCCGGUGACAAACCGGAGGAAGGUGGGGAUGACGUCAAGUCCUCAUGGCCCUUAUGGGUAGGGCUUCACACGUCAUACAAUGGUACAUACAGAGGGCCGCCAACCCGCGAGGGGGAGCUAAUCCCAGAAAGUGUAUCGUAGUCCGGAUUGUAGUCUGCAACUCGACUACAUGAAGUUGGAAUCGCUAGUAAUCGCGGAUCAGCAUGUCGCGGUGAAUACGUUCCCGGGUCUUGUACACACCGCCCGUCACACCAUGAGAGCGGGUUUCACCAGAAGUAGGUAGCCUAACCGUAAGGAGGGCGCUUACCACGGUGGGAUUCGUGACUGGGGUGAAGUCGUAACAAGGUA
rnacentral:rRNA from 1 species